CAUAAAACCAAAAAAAGAAACCCCCACAAAACCCAGCACUCUGCACUCACCCACCCCUUACAGGCCCGACCUCGGCUGCAGGUGGGUGAGUGCGGUGUGCACAACGGCCUGGCCCUGCUGAGCUACCGAGACCGGGGUCCCCAGCCACGCUGCUCAAGCCCCUGUACGCGCCACAAACCUUCCUGCGCCUCAGGCCCCUGACGUCACCUACGGUCAGUUUAACCAGGAGGAAGGCUUGGUCCCAGGACAGUCCCCAUCGGGGAGCUCCCCGCAGGCAGAGGACAGGAAAGGACAGGGCAGCUGCCCCCUCGGCCCGCCCGUCUCAGCUCAGGGAACGCCGCGGGGGAGAGGGGACAGCAGUGAGCUGCCCGAACGGCGUACACCUGACUGUGCGCUCAGGGAGUGGGUCUCCCACCGCCAUGGAGACCCGUCGCCCUGACCUGGAGGUCCCCUGAUGUUCUAUGGUGACGGAGACACCCGGUUUGGUACCUGAAUCCUCCCGCAUCUUGAAAAGUCAGCUAUUCAAAGGCAGACUUCCGUAGGGGCACAGGAGCUGAAAUGCUGCCUGUGGAUUUCAUGACAGUCUUGGUCCUACCCAAAAUGACAGUUGAAUCUCAGAAGGCCUAGACAAUGCUAACAGGCUUAGAGUUUUUUGGUUUUUGUUUUUAAAUUUUCAGCAGCACCCAAGGCAUACAAAAGUUCCCAGCAGGGCUCAAACACAGGUGUUGCCACAGCAGUGACAACAUCGAGGCUUAUAAUCAAUGCAAAGCAGCUCCUGAGGGUUAGAUGAGGAAAGGAAGCGGGUGGCGAUUCUGAAAAGCCACCUGCAGACUCAAAGCUGAUGACCAACAACCGUCCCAGCAGCUUUCCCCAAUCUGACAUCAGCAAUUAAGUGACCCAAGACUGGUCCUUAACCCUGCCCAGGAGCACAGCAUUCCCUCCCAGGCGUUCUGGAACACGCAGGCUACUUAUUCCUCCCUCUGGUGUCCCUGGUCUGGCACUUCCUCCAGUGGCCACUCCAGUUUCCAAACAAUCCCUGGGCCUUCCAUCCCACAGCACCUAUCUAUCGCCGCCCCCAGCUCAGAUUUCGCUCUGCUUUAUUUAGUCUUCCCCCCACCGGACCGAGGUCAGAUGCGCCCCCCAGCUGCACUACCACCUGCUUCGUCCAUCACAGAUUCUCCCACCAUGCUCUGCGCCCAGGGACACUCAGGGCCAGCCUUGAAACCAGGCUUAAUGUGCAUCAAGGAGAAGGGAGUCAACGCUUCCCUCUCGAGGCCAAGGACAGCAGGACAGAAAGGUGCGGCACCAGGUGGGAAACAGGGCCACCUGGGACUGGGAGGCGGGGCCCCGCCCGCAGGGGGUAUGCAGCCUCAUCCAGGCUCCUCAGCUGCAGACACCCACAGGCACCCUUCCCGCUCAUUAAUCCCGGGUGCUGACACCCCCAGGCCUAAACGCCGCCGUCCAGAUCAGAUUACCAUCGGGGAGCCGGCACAAGAAUGCCGCCUCCAGCCAGGGCCGAGAACAGCAAAACACAGCACCAGGGAAAACAGUCCGAGCCGGAAAGGAGGUCCAGAAUUCCCAGGCACCUGCCAGCCAGGUGAGCGCCGGUGGAAGGGGCACGAGGUCACGACACGGCUAAUGCGCAGGUUGGAGGUACGUCUGCCCCCCUUGGAGACACGGCCCCCCAACACCACACAGCGCCAGCCACACCCAGCAUGCCAGGAGCGGCCACAAACCUCUCCUUUCCCUAUUCCAGGAGACCAGUAAGGUCCAGCAGGCUCCUGCCGGGGUGCCCAGGGCACAUCAGCUGGUGAUUGGGCUGCAAACACGUCAGCAGGCUCCACAGAAGCCCGUGCACGUGGAGAACGCCCACGGCGGUCCCCAAGAGCAGUGUCUUCGCCACUAAGCCCGACAAAGUUCACGAGUGAAGCCCACGAGGACUUAAAACCUGGGGAAUAAUUACAAACAAGCUGCUCUGGGUUCAACGGCAUCCUCGAAACACAAAAAGCUACUAUAGUUCGUUUAUGUAAAUGCAACACGAACGCGCACUUGACAGUCACCGCACAAACCAAGCCAACGGGACUGACACGGGGGAGUCACCGCCACUGGAAGCACACGGCAAUUCACUUCGAAGUCACCGCUUUCAAACACUGCAUUUCACAAGCGUCAGUUAAGCUGUGCCCCCUUCGCCCAGGCCGCCAGCACGGGGCUUACACCCCGACAGUCCCGACACCAGACGGGCGCCCUCAACCUCCAGAGAGCAGGCCUUGAGUUGAAGCACCCACCCCGGGACCUUACCGCUUACAGGGAAUCUUUAGGUGCAUCAUAAAUAAACGUAAGGGCUGCAGUUUCCGCUGCAGAAGAUAAAGUUCUGGAGCUGGAUGGUGACGAGGCCCAAACCACCGAGAACGUGCCCUUAACGUCAGGACGUGCGACCUCACACGUGCCUAAGACGGCGCACUUAGCAUAACACAAAGCAGAUAAUCGUAAUGUGAGACACAUACCUAGAAAAUGAUCUGGAAAGUGAGGUCAGCGAGAAAACGGUCCCCCCCCACCCCCCCGUAGAAGCUCAGGGCCCGCCCCAAACGGCUCAGCCAACCGUUUACACACAGGCUGCGAAGCCCAUGACGCCGGGGUGUGGACAAGAGGAACACCUGUGUGGCCAGGUGGGGACAGCGGAGGACAGGGGACGAGCAGGCAGCUCUGGGUGCAGCUUGCGGGGGGGGGGGGGGGGUGAGUCUGGAGGGAGGGACGGAGAGGGGCAGAGACAAAGGAGGAAGAGCGAGGGGCAGCCAGAGCGGUCACGGGAGGAAGCGCUCAGUGUCGACCCAGGUCCCCGCAGGGCACAGGCAGCGCUCUGUCUGCCCCGCUGGGGCCCGUGCUCAGGCAGCGCCACUCUGGCCAUCUGAUGAGUGGCACCAUGCAUCUCCCGGCCUCAGCCCCCAGGGCGACCCCCCUCUGUCCCCCACAGGGCUCCCAGCCCUGGUAAAGUUUAACCUGCCUCCUGGGCUCCCGCCCCAGUCUUCACCGCCCUGUGCCAGCCACGCUGUCCUGGUACACAAGCCGCAGGAGCCUCUUCCAGACCCACCCCGCCUGCCCCCAACACCAGGACUGCCCGGCGGGAAGCAGGGGCGUGGGGGUGCUGGGGAGCCAGCCCCGGAGGCACCCCCCCAUCCACUCUAGAGGUGAAGCGGGCUGCGGGGCUCCUGCGGCUGGAAAGUUACGUCCUCAGGGAAGAUCUGCAGCUGACUUUUUCUGAAGGAACAAGUUCACUGUCAGCGUGUUUUCCUUCAGACGGAAACCUCCAGACCCCACGGAAAUACCACCCCCCACCAUACGGAUCCACAGCUUCUUCUACUCUCCACGCUAUUACGUCUCUGACGGCCGCCGGGGGAGGCCCGUUUUCUCUCCGGAAGGCGGCACCUCCGCUUUUAAAAAGGGACAAUUCAUAAAAAGUCAGGGCUCCAAGUACCGAAGUGCACAUUCCUGAAAAGCCUGCCAAUCAUAAAGGGAGCAGCACCUGAACGCAGGACAGAACCAGGUCCCCCUCCCCCGCACACGCAGUAACCAACAAACACCACGAGGAUAAAGACCUCUUCACAAGUACAGCCAACGCAAUUCCAUCUGUUCACAAAACUAACUGUUGCUUCAAAGGUUGCAAGUUCAAACACAAUCUGGCUAUUGUCGGCAGUGCCUCAGUUUAUCAAUGUAACAAUGACUCUCUUUCAAAGGUUGAUAAAGCUCUCUGCAAAUCCUCGCCCUCCGGCAUUUUUAAGAUACUUCGCAGGAUAAAUAUUAGCUUGAGACUCGCCUACAAGAGAAGUGAAAGCUGCCAAAGAAGCAGUUUUACAAAGCAAAGAAGCAGGAACCACAGCAGCUGGAGGGGAACCACAAUGCCCUGCCCGCCUGUCCUGGGCUCAUCUCCUGAUGGGGGUGGGGGGGCCAGUGCCAGGCACCCAACAAGCAACCACCCUGGCAGAUGGAAAGAAAAGUAGAAAAUGGGGAGUUCCCGCUGUGAUGCAGCAGGUUAAGGUCUGGCGUUGUCUCACUGGUGGGGCGGGUUCGACCCCUGGCCUGGUAGUGGGUUAAGGAUCCAGCGUUGCUGCAACUCAGAUUCAAUUUUCAAUCGCUGGGCUGGGACCUUACAUGCGCCACGGUUGCAAAAAAAAAAAAAAGAAAAGAACAGAACUGGAAAAUGGAAUUAAUUAAAAGGAGAGAUUUUAAGACGAUUGUUGGGAUGAAAGCGAACAAGGAGCUUUACAGCUUAAAUUUGAUUUUAACUGAAUUUCUUCACAGUUAAGUGGCUUGGGUGACCAAACGCAGAGAGGGAGGGGAGAGGGGGCCAGCCAACACGACGCCCAGGGACCCCGGGAGCAUGCCCGCAGCCAGGCUGGGCGGGCCUGUGCAGGGCUCCAGACGCUCCCAUCCUGACUUCACCUGGAGGAGCUUUGAGGUGUUAGCUUGCAGCUCGGCAGAGGCGGAUGCACACGCACAGGCAAGGCGGGGCUCCCAGCCAGAGCCCCUCGGACCCUGACCCCUACGUCCUCGCCCCUCGGAUGCCACACC
rnacentral:lncRNA from 1 species